rnacentral:lncRNA from 1 species
UUUGGGACAUGCUCUGCUGGUUUUUGACCUGAAGGGAGGGGGGAUGGGGUAGAAGCUAGAAAAACCUGAGCCAAAGCACUCAGAGAGAAGGUGGCAGCCUGGACUAAAGCUCAGGGUAGGCAGGGGGAAAGUAGAUGUAAGAAUGUACCAAGGAGUGAUGUUAAUUCAACUUUGGGUGUGUGAUUAUUACAUGGGUUCUUAACCAUGUAAUAGUUCUUUAAUGCCCUGAGCCUCCAACAUGAGUGUAAUGGUAGCCAAAUGUCCUGGCACUGGAGCAUUUCUCUAAUACAGAAGCUGCAGCCCUGAACUGAGCAACCAGAUUGCUCCUAUGGUGAUAUGGAAACCUCAGGGAACUGAAUCUGGUGAAUCUUGAAGAUCUGUGCCUGAGAAAAGCUCUACCUUUCCUUGUGUGAGCAGCUGUCUGGUGCUAUGUGGAUGUUUAACCAGUGAACUGCUUGGCAAUAAAGGAAGAUGACUAAGGGAGGAGCCUGGUGAGCCUGACCUGGGACCACAGAGGAUCUCAGAGAACAUCCAGCACCACUGGAACUGAGCACCCAGGGCAGCCAGAUGGACUCUCCCCACCUCGUGGGGUUGUGUUUCCUGCUCCUGGCUGUUGCAGCUCCCUGUCCAAAUAUUGCCAUGGCCAGUGGUCACCCUACUGAGAGGACACAUAACUCUUCCUCUGGCAAAACAAAUGUGACAGUCUACUACUGUAAAGACUGUGCAAUCAGUGAAUGUGAAUCAGGCAGAUUUGAAAGAUUUGUAAAAAUGGCUAAAACAGAAAACGAGGGAAAAAUUGACUUGGUGACCAGGAAAACACUCAUCCUUGUGUGCUUUCAGCAAGGAAAUACUUCUCCUGAAGGAAUUUAUGGCAUCGUCUGGGUAAAAACCAGGGGAAUUGGACACUCGUGUGCCAUCCUGAAUUCUACAGCUUUCUCAGCAAAUGGGAGAGGUAGCAUCAGUCCUGAGGAGAAUAAACUUUGCUGUGAAGCAGAAAUAAAUAUCUGGGAGUCCAAUCUUACACUGAAGUGCCACACUGAAAUGUCAGGUGCAGAAACUAGAAAAGCACCAGCUGGUAUCCUUGGUGAGGAAAUUCCAGGUAGAAGGAGCGACAUCAUCAUCUCUGUCACAUUCCUGCUGCUCCUUGUGCUUUGUGCAGGAACGGUCACUGCAUAUUGCUAUCGGCGGCAUCGGAUUAUUCAAGCUCUCAGAAUAAACAGACAGGCUUCAGAUGAAGAGAGCCUCACACAGGCUUGAAAACUAUCUACGAGUGAGAAGAUCCCUAUGCCAGCAGCAUCUUCCUCUGUCCUGAUGUACAGCAACCAGCUGAAGCAACAGAGCCUGAUGUUCCAUGAGACCUCCUGGUCCCAUAUUCACAAAUGGUCUGGUUUUCACAAAUGCACCUUCACCACAUCCACAUGUUCACCAAGGACUGUGAUUGCCACAGUUGUCCAGCUCCAGGCCUUCAAGAGCAGCACAAGCAGCACCCUGGAUCUCCCAUUCUCUGCUGGUGCUUGGCUGAGGAGCUAUCACAAGGUGUGUGGCUGACUCAGCAGCACAGCCUUAAACCAGCUGAAUUAUCUCCAGCUGUGUGCUCUGCUUCCUGGAGAUGUCUACUGGGUUUGUCCUCAGCAAGUGCUUUGUGUUUUGCAACAUACAUAGAUAGGCAAAUAUUUUUAUUCACAGAAUUAUGGAAUGGUUUGGGUUGGAAGAUCAUCUGAUGAAAUAAAAAAAGGACUAACAAUACUAAGAUGCCUGAC